AGCAGCCGCGGUAAUUCCAGCUCCAAUAGCGUAUAUUAAAGUUGUUGCAGUUAAGAAGCUCGUAGUUGAAUUUCGGGGUUAGUAGGUUGGUCAUGCCUCUGGUAUGUACUGGUCUCACUGAUUCCUCCUUCCUGAUGAACCUUAAUGCCAUUAAUUUGGUGUUUUGGGGAAUUUGGACUGUUACUUUGAAAAAUUAGAGUGUUUAAAGCAAGCUAACGCUUGAAUACAUUAGCAUGGAAUAAUGAAAUAGGACGUUCGAUCCUAUUUUGUUGGUUUCUAGGAUUGACGUAAUGAUUAAUAGGGAUAGUUGGGGGCAUUAGUAUUCAAUUGUCAGAGGUGAAAUUCUUGGAUUUAUUGAAGACUAACUACUGCGAAAGCAUUUGCCAAGAAUGUUUUCAUCAAUCAAGAACGAAAGUCUGAGGUUCGAAGGCGAUCAGAUACCGUCGUAGUCUUAACCAUAAACUAUGCCGACUAGGGAUCGGGCGGUGUUAUUAUUUUGACUCGCUCGGCACCUUACGAGAAACCAAAGUGUUUGAGUU
rnacentral:rRNA from 1 species